AGAGUUUGAUCAUGGCUCAGAACGAACGCUGGCGGCGUGGAUAAGACAUGCAAGUCGAACGCUGAUCAGGGGGUAGCAAUAUUCUCUGGUUGGAGUGGCGCAAGGGUGCGUAACACGUGGGUAAUCUGCCGUGAAGACUGGGAUAACUCGCUGAAAGGCGAGCUAAUACCGGAUGUGACUGUUGGGGAGCAUUCUCUGACAUUGGAAGCUGGGGACCUGAAAGGGCCUGGCGCUUCAUGAUGAGCCCGCGGCCUAUCAGCUAGUUGGUGAGGUAACGGCCCACCAAGGCUAAGACGGGUAGCUGGUCUGAGAGGACGACCAGCCACACUGGAACUGAGACACGGUCCAGACACCUACGGGUGGCAGCAGUCGAGAAUUUUUCACAAUGGGCGCAAGCCUGAUGGAGCGACGCCGCGUGGGGGAUGAAGGGUUUCGAUCCGUAAACCCCUGUCAUUUGCGAACAAUGCUCAUUGGUUAAGAGCUGAUGAGUUGAUAGUAGCGAAAGAGGAAGGGACGGCUAACUCUGUGCCAGCAGCCGCGGUAAUACAGAGGUCCCAAGCGUUGUUCGGAUUCACUGGGCGUAAAGGGUGCGUAGGUGGCCGUGGAAGUUUGAUGUGAAAGCUCGGAGCUUAACUCCGAAAUGGCAUUGAAUACUCUACGGCUUGAGGGUCGGAGGGGAGACUGGAAUUCUCGGUGUAGCAGUGAAAUGCGUAGAUAUCGAGAGGAACACCAGUGGCGAAGGCGAGUCUCUGGACGACACCUGACACUGAGGCACGAAAGCUAGGGGAGCAAACAGGAUUAGAUACCCUAGUAGUCC
rnacentral:rRNA from 1 species